rnacentral:ncRNA from 1 species
ACUCUAGUCUAACUUUGUGAAAUGACUUGAGAGGUGUAGAAUAAGUGGGAGUUGUUUUCAGCGCAAGUGAAAUACCACUACUUUUAACAUUAUUUUACUUAUUUCACAGGGAAGAUAUGAGGCAUAAUUGCACAUAUGUUAAAAGAUGAUGCACAUUUACUCAAAGUGUUUUUAUUUAUGCGAAUGGUCAAAAUCUCAUUCUUCACACACUUGAUGGCAAUGAUUUUAGGAAACCAAAUAGGAUCAUUUAUUUUAAGGAUGAAUAAAUUUCCUACAAUCCCUAUGUUUUAAGCCAACAUCCCCCUAUAAGUAUCUAUGUUAUGGUUCCUCCUUGUAAAUUGGUGACUUGAGUCAUGAUAGAAUUAGAGAGUGGGU